rnacentral:lncRNA from 1 species
CAUGGGUUUCUGAUGCUAGUACAGACAUGGUAAUAAAUCUAAUUCGGUAGGUUACAUUCUUGACAAGAGAUUAGUAUUAUAUAAGCUUCUUAGAUAAUGUGGGCGAAAGAUAUCAGUAGGACACUCAAACUGAUAGAUCGAAACAAACUGACAACGCCAUGGCUGAAAAAGAAAAAGACAAACAAACAAACAAACAAAUAAUAGUACACAGGACACAACAUAGAAAACUUAAGACCAUACAACACGAACUGCAC